rnacentral:rRNA from 1 species
GACGGAGGGUGCUAGCGUUGUUCGGAAUCACUGGGCGUAAAGGGCGCGUAGGCGGCCAGGCAAGUCGGCUUGUGAAAGCCCCGGGCUCAACCUGGGAAUUGCAUUCGAGACUGAAUAGCUAGGGUACGGUAGAGGGAAGUGGAAUUUCCGGUGUAGCGGUGAAAUGCGUAGAUAUCGGAAGGAACAUCAGUGGCGAAAGCGACUUCCUGGACCAGUACCGACGUUCAGGCACGAAAGCGUGGGGAGCAAACAGG